rnacentral:pre_miRNA from 1 species
ACAACAUUCGGACCGUCGGCUUACCAAGUAAAUUCCCCCGCUCAGUGAAAGACUUUCCUUUUGUCGA